rnacentral:rRNA from 1 species
GGGACAUUCAGAUCGGGAGGCCGCGGACGCACGUUGCGGGUUGACCGUUCCCGUUGUUGGGGCGUCCGCGACGUGCGCUUUCGUGCCACCCGACGCAUUUGUCUUCCCGUCCGAUGGACGCCGCGACCGGUUGGAGAACGGCCCUAAGGGCGGACGAUGGCAGGUGGCCGGUGGAUUCUUUCCUCCCCCUUGGGGGGGGGGUUCUUUUGUCCGCCGGUUGUUAGCCGGUUUCCGUCGCACGGCCCGUGCUCCGACCGUGGUGUUGCGAGACCCUUCGUGGGACUCUUCGCCUCCUCCUUUGCGGGAUGCCCGGAGUGUGGGCGGCACGGGUUCUUCUCCCCACCUGGCGGGCGCACGGACUGACUCCGUGGCCCAGCCGUGCGGGAGGCCCGGUUGGUAGCCCCCUACCGGUUGGAGUGCUGUGCGGUUGGCGGCGAGUAGAUCGGUCACCCACCCGACCCGUCUUGAAACACGGACCAAGGAGUCUAACAUGCGUGCGAGUCAUUGGGUCUUGUGCAGGCCCAGGGGCGUAAUGAAAGCGAAUGUGUUGGGAUCCUCCCCCCUCGUGGGGGAGUGCGCACCAACGGCCCGUCCCGUCCGAUUUUUCGGAGGGGCGGAGUCUGAGCAUACACGUUGGGACCCGAAAGGUGGUGAACUAUGCCCGGGCAGGACGAAGUCAGAGG